rnacentral:rRNA from 1 species
AGAGUUUGAUCCUGGCUCAGGACGACGCNNGGCGGCGUGCUUAACACAUGCAAGUCGAGCGGAAAGGCCUUCGGGGUACUCGAGCGGCGAACGGGUGAGUAACACGUGAGUAACCUGCCCUGGACUUUGGGAUAACCCUCGGAAACGGGGGCUAAUACCGGAUACGACACACUGACGCAUGUUGUGUGUGUGGAAAGUUUUUCGGUCUGGGAUGGGCUCGCGGCCUAUCAGCUUGUUGGUGGGGUGAUGGCCUACCAAGGCGACGACGGGUAGCCGGCCUGAGAGGGCGACCGGCCACACUGGGACUGAGACACGGCCCAGACUCCUACGGGAGGCAGCAGUGGGGAAUAUUGCACAAUGGGCGGAAGCCUGAUGCAGCGACGCCGCGUGAGGGAUGACGGCCUUCGGGUUGUAAACCUCUUUCAGCAGGGACGAAGCGCAAGUGACGGUACCUGCAGAAGAAGCGCCGGCCAACUACGUGCCAGCAGCCGCGGUAAGACGUAGGGCGCGAGCGUUGUCCGGAUUUAUUGGGCGUAAAGAGCUCGUAGGCGGCUUGUCGCGUCGACUGUGAAAACCCGCGGCUCAACUGCGGGCCUGCAGCCGAUACGGGCAGGCUAGAGUUCGGUAGGGGAGACUGGAAUUCCUGGUGUAGCGGUGAAAUGCGCAGAUAUCAGGAGGAACACCGGUGGCGAAGGCGGGUCUCUGGGCCGAUACUGACGCUGAGGAGCGAAAGCGUGGGGAGCGAACAGGAUUAGAUACCCUAGUAGUCC